GACGAACGCUGGCGGCGUGCUUAACACAUGCAAGUCGAACGGAAAGGCCCUGCUCUUGCGGGGUGCUCGAGUGGCGAACGGGUGAGUAACACGCGAGUAAACUGUCCUUGACUUUGGGAUAACUUCAGGAAACUGGGGCUAAUAUCGGAUAGGAGAUCUUGCUGCACGGUGGGGGUUGGAAAGUUUCGGCGGUUGGGGAUGGACUGGUGGCGUAUCGGCUUGUUGGUGGGGUGGUGGCUUACCAAGGCUUCGACGGGUAGCCGGCCUGAGAGGGUGACCGGCGGCAUUGGGACUGAGGGACGGCAGAAGCAGCUACUGGAGGCAGCAGUGGGAAAGAUUGAAGGAUGGACGGAGGCCUAGUGCAGCAGCUCCUCGUGCGGUAUGACUGCCUUAGGGGUGUAGACCACUUGCGCCAGUGACGAAGCGUGAGUGACGGUAAUGGGUAAAGAAGCACCGGGUAACUACGUG
rnacentral:rRNA from 1 species